rnacentral:rRNA from 1 species
AACGAACGCUGGCGGCAGGCCUAAUACAUGCAAGUCGAACGCCGUAGCAAUACGGAGUGGCAGACGGGUGAGUAACACGUGGGAACGUGCCCAAAGGUACGGAACAACUCCGGGAAACUGGAGCUAAUACCGUAUGUGCCCGAAAGGGGAAAGAUUUAUCGCCUUUGGAUCGGCCCGCGUCUGAUUAGCUUGUUGGUGAGGUAACGGCUCACCAAGGCGACGAUCAGUAGCUGGUCUGAGAGGAUGAUCAGCCACACUGGGACUGAGACACGGCCCAGACUCCUACGGGAGGCAGCAGUAGGGAAUAUUGGACAAUGGGCGAAAGCCUGAUCCAGCCAUGCCGCGUGAGUGAUGAAGGCCUUAGGGUUGUAAAGCUCUUUCGUCCGGGACGAUAAUGACGGUACCGGAAGAAGAAGCCCCGGCUAACUUCGUGCCAGCAGCCGCAGUAAAAC